rnacentral:misc_RNA from 1 species
UUUCCGUAGGUGAACCUGCGGAAGGAUCAUUACUGAGUGAGGGCCCUCUGGGUCCAACCUCCCACCCGUGUUUAUUGUACCUUGUUGCUUCGGUGAGCCCGCCUCACGGCCGCCGGGGGGCAUCUGCCCCCGGGCCCGCGCUCGCCGAAGACACCCUCGAACUCUGUCUGAAGUUUGCAGUCUGAGCGAAAACUAAAUAAGUUAAAACUUUCAACAACGGAUCUCUUGGUUCCG